rnacentral:rRNA from 1 species
GCAAGUCGAACGAAGUUUCACUCCUGCAACGGACUUCGGUCCAAUGCUUUGUGAUACUUAGUGGCGAACGGGUGAGUAACAGGUAGACAACUUGCCUUAACGUCUGGGAUAACAUCGGGAAACUGGUGCUAAUACCGGAUAGGAUAUUUCCUCGCAUGGGGAAUUAUUUAAAGAUGGGUUAAACCAUCGCGUUGAGAGAGGUCUGCUUCGUAUUAGCUAGUUGGUGAGGUAAUGGCUCACCAAGGCGAUGAUGCGUAGCCGAGCUGAGAGGCUGAUCGGCCACACUGGAACUGAGACACGGUCCAGACUCCUACGGGAGGCAGCAGUUAGGGAUAUUCGGCAAUGGACGAAAGUCUGACCGAGCAAUGCCGCGUGAAUGAAGAAGUAUUUCGAUAUGUAAAGUUCUGUUGUAAGGGAAGAAUGGUAAUGAUAGGAAAUGAUCAUUAUUUGACGGUACCUUACCAGAAAGCCCCGGCUAACUACGUGCCAGCAGCCGCGGUAAUACGUAGGGGGCGAGCGUUAUCCGGAUUUAUUGGGCGUAAAGGGUGCGUAGGCGGCCUUACAAGUCUGAGUUGAAAGCCCACGGCUUAACCGUGGAGGGUGCUCGGAAACUGUAAGGCUUGAAUCCAGAAGAGGCAAGUAGAAUUCUAUGUGGAGCGGUGGAAUGCGUAGAUAUAUGGAGGAAUACCAGUGGCGAAGGCGGCUUGCUGGUCUGGGAUUGACGCUGAGGCACGAAAGCGUGGGGGAGCAAACAGGAUUAGAUACCCUGGUAGUCCACGC